UGUAGCUCAAAUGGUAGAGCGCUCGCUUAGCAUGCGAGAGGUACAGGAUUGAUCAUGUUACUGUGAUAAAAU
rnacentral:tRNA from 1 species